AGUGAACGCUGGCGGUAGGCCUAACACAUGCAAGUCGAACGGCAGCACAGUAAGAGCUUGCUCUUACGGGUGGCGAGUGGCGGACGGGUGAGGAAUACAUCGGAAUCUACUUUUUCGUGGGGGAUAACGUAGGGAAACUUACGCUAAUACCGCAUACGACCUACGGGUGAAAGCAGGGGAUCUUCGGACCUUGCGCGAUUGAAUGAGCCGAUGUCGGAUUAGCUAGUUGGCGGGGUAAAGGCCCACCAAGGCGACGAUCCGUAGCUGGUCUGAGAGGAUGAUCAGCCAGACUGGAACUGAGACACGGUCCAGACUCCUACGGGAGGCAGCAGUGGGGAAUAUUGGACAAGGGGCGCAAGCCUGAUCCAGCCAUACCGCGUGGGUGAAGAAGGCCUUCGGGUUGUAAAGCCCUUUUGUUGGGAAAGAAAAGCAGCAUGUUAAUACCCCGCUGUUCUGACGGUACCCAAUGAAUAAGCACCGGCUAACUUCGUG
rnacentral:rRNA from 1 species